rnacentral:rRNA from 1 species
CGUGAAGUCGGAAUCGCUAGUAAUCGCGGAUCAGCAUGCCGCGGUGAAUACGUUCCCGGGCCUUGUACACACCGCCCGUCACACCAUGAGAGUCGGGAACACCCGAAGUCCGUAGCCUAACCGCAAGGAGGGCGCGGCCGAAGGUGGGUUCGAUAAUUGGGGUGAAGUCGUAACAAGGUAGC